rnacentral:rRNA from 1 species
GACGAACGCUGGCGGCGUGCUUAACACAUGCAAGUCGAACGGAAAGGCCCUGCUUUUGUGGGGUGCUCGAGUGGCGAACGGGUGAGUAACACGUGAGUAACCUGCCCUUGACUUUGGGAUAACUUCAGGAAACUGGGGCUAAUACCGGAUAGGAGCUCCUGCUGCAUGGUGGGGGUUGGAAAGUUUCGGCGGUUGGGGAUGGACUCGCGGCUUAUCAGCUUGUUGGUGGGGUAGUGGCUUACCAAGGCUUUGACGGGUAGCCGGCCUGAGAGGGUGACCGGCCAAAUUGGGACUGAGAUAAGGCACAGACUACUACGGGAGGCAGCAGUGGGGAAUAUUGCACAAUGGGAGGAAGCAUGAUGCAGCAACGCCGCGUGCGGGAUGACGGCAUUCGGGUUGUAAACCGCUUCCGCCUGUGACGAAGCGUGAGUGACGGUAAUGGGUAAAGAAGCACCGGCUAACUACGUG